UUCCUUCUAAUAAUCAAACUUUUAUAUAUCCAUAUAAAGAUGUUUGGAUGUUAAUUGAGAAGAGUAGUAUUGUUAUAAUAUUACUUUCUUAAAAACCAGAAAUAUUUUGUUUUGGUUUUCUUCCCAACUCAUUUUAUAUUUAAUAUAGCAAAUGAGUGUGACUUUAACAAGGAACAAUAAUACUUUU
rnacentral:misc_RNA from 1 species